rnacentral:rRNA from 1 species
GAACGCGAAGAACCUUACCUACCCUUGACAUCCUGCGAAUCCCGAUGAGAGUUGGGAGUGCCGCAAGGAACGCAGAGACAGGUGCUGCAUGGCUGUCGUCAGCUCGUGUUGUGAGAUGUUGGGUUAAGUCCCGUAACGAGCGCAACCCUUGUCCUUAGUUGCCAUCAUUUAGUUGGGGACUCUAAGGAGACUGCCGGUGAUGAACCGGAGGAAGGCGGGGACGACAUCAAGUCAUCAUGGCCUUUAUGGGUAGGGCUACACACGUGCUACAAUGGGGCGUACAGAGGGUCGCCAACCCGCGAGGGGGAGCCAAUCUCUUAAAGCGUCUCGUAGUCCGGAUCGGAGCCUGCAACUCGACUCCGUGAAGUCGGAAUCGCUAGUAAUCGCGAAUCAGCAUUGUCGCGGUGAAUACGUUCCCGGGUCUUGUACACACC